rnacentral:rRNA from 1 species
GUCGAGAAUAGUCUACAAUGGUCGAAAGACUGAUAGUGCGACGCCGCGUGAACGAAGAAGCCCUUCGGGGUGUAAAGUUCUUUUAUAUGUGAGCAAUGCCUUUUAUGUGAAUAGCAUGAGAGGAGCGAUAUUAGCAUAUGAAUAAGCAACGGCUAACUCCGUGCCAGCAGCCGCGGUAACACGGGGGUUGCAAGCGUUGUCCGGAAUUACUAGGCGUAAAGGGCAGGUAGGCGGAUAGAUAAGUUUUUUGUCAAAGGCGACGGCUCACCCGUCGUAUGGCAGGAGAUACUGUUUAUCUGGAAUGCGGUUGGGGAAGACAGAAUUCCUGGUGUAGCGGUGGAAUGCGCAGAGAUCAGGAGGAAUACCGAAGGCGAAGGCAGUCUUCUAAGCCGUUAUUGACGCUAAACUGCGAAGGUGUGGGUAUCAAACAGGAUUAGAAACCCGGGUAGUCC